GAUGAACGCUGGCGGCGUGCCUAAUACAUGCAAGUCGAGCGAACGGACGAGAAGCUUGCUUCUCUGAUGUUAGCGGCGGACGGGUGAGUAACACGUGGAUAACCUACCUAUAAGACUGGGAUAACUUCGGGAAACCGGCGCUAAUACCGGAUAAUCUUUUGAACCGCAUGGUUCAAAAGUGAAAGACGGUCUUGCUGUCACUUAUCGAUGGAUCCGCGCUGCAUUAGCUAGUUGGUAAGGUAACGGCUUACCAAGGCAACGAUGCAUAGCCGACCUGAGAGGGUGAUCGGCCACACUGGAACUGAGACACGGUCCAGACUACUACGGGAGGCAGCAGUAGGGAAUCUUCCGCAAUGGGCGAAAGCCUGACGGAGCAACGCCGCGUGAGUGAUGAAGGUCUUCGGAUCGUAAAAAUCUGUUAUUAGGGAAGAACAUAUGUGUAAGUAACUGUGCACAUCUUGACGGUACCUAAUCAGAAAGCCACGGCUAACUACGUG
rnacentral:rRNA from 1 species